UUUGAUGGAACAUGUGAACCUUUUUCACAGCAGACAUUUAGCUUGUCAUAGCAGGAAAAGCUCAGCUGAAACUGAUUACCUUAACGAUGGCUCAAGUCCAUCAGGUGUUCCAGUAAGCUAGUUCAGUGAGUUAGCAUGCACAA